UAUAUAUGUAGUUUUUAAUGGGGAGGGAAUGAGCAUUGUUAUCUUUGACAAAGAAAAACCAACAUCUCAGAAAAAUAUAGGCAAGGAAGAUUCUCAAAGCAUCUAGCAAACAAGUGACAGUGAAUAAAAAUUCAUAGUCCAAUAUUCAUUCUUACUAAUUGAAGGCCUAUAACAUGUGAUUGUCUUUAUUUAGAAUGCACAGGUUCACUACUAAAUGUUGUCUCUCUUGUUUUCCCAUAAAUUCCUCAGGGCUUUUUAGGAACCAAACUUUCACUGUUAUAGAAGGACCACUGAAAGCUUAAAUUUUAGAUCUUAGAAUUUUUGUGUUCAUAUUGUUAUUAUUAAAGUUGCACUGUAGGCUGGGCACUGUGGCUCAUGCCUGUAAUCCUAGCACUUUGGAAGGCCAAGGCGGGUGGAUCACUUGAGCUCAGGAGUUCGAGACCAGCCUGGGCAACAUAGUGAGACCUCCGUCUCUACAAAAAAAUACCAAAGAAAAUUAACCAGGCCUGGCUGGGCGCGGUGGCUCACACCUGUAAUCCCAGCACUUUGGGAG
rnacentral:lncRNA from 10 species